AAAAUCUAAGAUGGUUCAGCCUCGCCCACCCCACCACUUCCAAUCCCCUUAUUUCACAAAUUAGAGAAUGGAUCCAACUGUUUUAAAAUAAGGCAUGAACACUAACCUUGGUAAAAUUGAAAUUACUGGUAAAUAACACCUGCAGAAUAAGAUGGACUGAAACCAGAGUCCCUGAGCUGUUUCUUAUGUGGGUUCUAUCCCAUAAGAUAAGGAGUUUUCAUUUUAAUUCUCUAGUGCUAGCCCCGUCCUGGCCUACUACCCGCCCACCUACCCAGAUUUGUUUUUCUAUAUGGGCACGUGCCAAGCUCCUGGAAGGAAAUUUUCCAUCCCAGUUUUCUCCGGCAUCCCAUUGUUUUGGUGUUUACAUUCAUAACCUUCACUCACCCUUACAGUAUCCUAAGUUUUAAUAUAUUGCUUUCAUUCCAUAACAGAAACUUUAUUUCUAAACAUUCUGUGAUGUUUUUUGAAAAGCACGAAUAAAACUGCACUGUCCCAGUGAGAACCCUAUUUCCUUGGCCCAGCUUUUGGGCAGGGUUUUAUGAAUUUCUCUUUUCUCUGUGAUGAUUAUUAAUCUCUAGGAGGUUUGUGCCAAUGCACGAUCUCUCUGCAAGUUGUGAGACACUGGGCACCUUAGGUAGAUGGGAGCUGAGCUGGGCCGUGCUGGACAGAUGCCCACACACAGUGGCUCCAUGAAGCCUGCGCUCCCUGGGGCAGUGGAGCCAGUCCUGAUGCACCAUAGAGUCAGCACAGAGUUACUGCGUUAAGGGUGGGGCAAGGCAUCACCCCAGGUCUGAAUUCUUCUAAACAAAAACAUUAUUUUCUGUUUUCCUUCUAACCAGGGUGAGAAAAUACAAAGUUAGUAACUGAAGACCACAAAAGCAUACAUUUUAUAUUCUGCAGUGUGUAUUUAACGAGUUUGUAAUGGGGGAAAAAAUCCAGCAAAUAUUACAAUUUACCACAUCUUUAAAAGAGAAUAAAAAAUACAGUUGUACUUACCUUACAAGAACUCAUACAAACUCCAUCAGAUCUGUUUAGUAUUUGUCUGAUUACCUAAUAACCAAGAAAAAAAGAAGUCCC
rnacentral:lncRNA from 1 species